rnacentral:rRNA from 1 species
AGCGAACGCUGGCGGCAGGCCUAACACAUGCAAGUCGAGCGCCCCGCAAGGGGAGCGGCAGACGGGAGAGUAACACGUGGGAACGUGCCCUUUGGUUCGGAACAACCCAGGGAAACUUGGGCUAAUACCGGAUAAGUCCGUAAGGAGAAAGAUUUAUCGCCAAAGGAGCGGCCCGCGUCUGAUUAGCUAGUUGGUGAGGUAAUGGCUCACCAAGGCGACGAUCAGUAGCUGGUCUGAGAGGAUGAUCAGCCUCACUGGGACUGAGACACGGCCCAGACUCCUACGGGAGGCAGCAGUGGGGAAUAUUGGACAAUGGGCGCAAGCCUGAUCCAGCCAUGCCGCGUGGGUGAUGAAGGCCCUAGGGUUGUAAAGCCCUUUCGGCGGGGAAGAUAAUGACGGUACCCGCAGAAGAAGCCCCGGCUAACUUCGUGCCAGCAGCCGCAGUAAAAC